CAUAGGUUAAUGAGGCGAACCGGGGGAACUGAAACAUCUAAGUACCCCGAGGAAAAGAAAUCAACCGAGAUUCCCCCAGUAGCGGCGAGCGAACGGGGAGCAGCCCAGAGCCUGAAUCAGUGUGUGUGUUAGUGGAAGCGUCUGGAAAGGCGCGCGAUACAGGGUGACAGCCCCGUACACAAAAAUGCACAUGCUGUGAGCUCGAUGAGUAGGGCGGGACACGUGGUAUCCUGUCUGAAUAUGGGGGGACCAUCCUCCAAGGCUAAAUACUCCUGACUGACCGAUAGUGAACCAGUACCGUGAGGGAAAGGCGAAAAGAACCCCGGCGAGGGGAGUGAAAAAGAACCUGAAACCGUGUACGUACAAGCAGUGGGAGCACGCUUAGGCGUGUGACUGCGUACCUUUUGUAUAAUGGGUCAGCGACUUAUAUUCUGUAGCAAGGUUAACCGAAUAGGGGAGCCGAAGGGAAACCGAGUCUUAACUGGGCGUUAAGUUGCAGGGUAUAGACCCGAAACCCGGUGAUCUAGCCAUGGGCAGGUUGAAGGUUGGGUAACACUAACUGGAGGACCGAACCGACUAAUGUUGAAAAAUUAGCGGAUGACUUGUGGCUGGGGGUGAAAGGCCAAUCAAACCGGGAGAUAGCUGGUUCUCCCCGAAAGCUAUUUAGGUAGCGCCUCGUGAAUUCAUCUCCGGGGGUAGAGCACUGUUUCGGCAAGGGGGUCAUCCCGACUUACCAACCCGAUGCAAACUGCGAAUACCGGAGAAUGUUAUCACGGGAGACACACGGCGGGUGCUAACGUCCGUCGUGAAGAGGGAAACAACCCAGACCGCCAGCUAAGGUCCCAAAGUCAUGGUUAAGUGGGAAACGAUGUGGGAAGGCCCAGACAGCCAGGAUGUUGGCUUAGAAGCAGCCAUCAUUUAAAGAAAGCGUAAUAGCUCACUGGUCGAGUCGGCCUGCGCGGAAGAUGUAACGGGGCUAAACCAUGCACCGAAGCUGCGGCAGCGACGCUUAUGCGUUGUUGGGUAGGGGAGCGUUCUGUAAGCCUGCGAAGGUGUGCUGUGAGGCAUGCUGGAGGUAUCAGAAGUGCGAAUGCUGACAUAAGUAACGAUAAAGCGGGUGAAAAGCCCGCUCGCCGGAAGACCAAGGGUUCCUGUCCAACGUUAAUCGGGGCAGGGUGAGUCGACCCCUAAGGCGAGGCCGAAAGGCGUAGUCGAUGGGAAACAGGUUA
rnacentral:rRNA from 1 species